rnacentral:rRNA from 1 species
GGUGCGUAACGCGUAUGCAACCUGCCCGGGACAGGAGGAUAAUCCGAAGAAAUUUGGUCCAACACUCCGUAAUACAGACGAAGGCAUCUUUGUCGGUUGAAAACUGAGGUGGUUCCGGAUGGGCAUGCGUGAUAUUAGCUAGAUGGAGAGGUAACGGCUCACCAUGGCUACGAUAUCUAGGGGAACUGAGAGGUUAAUCCCCCACACUGGUACUGAGACACGGACCAGACUCCUACGGGAGGCAGCAGUGAGGAAUAUUGGUCAAUGGGAGGAAUCCUGAACCAGCCAUGCCGCGUGCAGGACGACGGCUCUACGAGUUGUAAACUGCUUUUGUACCGGGGUAAAAUGCCUUACGUGUAGGGUUUUGAAAGUACGGUACGAAUAAGGAUCGGCUAACUCCGUGCCAGCAGCCGCGGUAAUACGGAGGAUCCGAGCGUUAUCCGGAUUCAUUGGGUUUAAAGGGUGCGUAGGUUGUUUUAUAAGUUAGCGGUGAAAUACCGAUGCUCAACAUCGGGGCUGCCGCUAAUACUGUAGGACUAGAGAUCGGAUGCAGCAGGCGGAAUGUGUAGUGUAGCGGUGAAAUGCAUAGAUAUUACACAGAACACCGAUUGCGAAGGCAGCUUGCUAGGCCGGAUCUGACACUGAUGCACGAAAGCGUGGGGGAUCGAACAGGAUUAGAUACCCUGGUAGU